ensembl:snRNA U6 U6 spliceosomal RNA
AUAGCUUGUUUUAGCUGUACAAUACUAAAAUUAGAAUGAUACAAAGAAGAUUAGCAUGGCCCAGUGCAAAGAGGACACACAAAUUUCUUAAGUGUUCCAUAUUUUG